AAAACCUUACCUACCCUUGACAUGUCACUAANGAAGNAGAGAUACAUUAGGUGCCCGUAAGGGAAAGUGAACACAGGUGCUGCAUGGCUGUCGUCAGCUCGUGUCGUGAGAUGUUGGGUUAAGUCCCGCAACGAGCGCAACCCUUGUCUUUAGUUGCUACGAAAGAGCACUCUAAAGAGACUGCCGGUGACAAACCGGAGGAAGGUGGGGAUGACGUCAAGUCCUCAUGGCCCUUAUGGGUAGGGCUUCACACGUCAUACAAUGGUGCGUACAGAGGGUUGCCAACCCGCGAGGGGGAGCUAAUCUCUUAAAACGCAUCGUAGUCCGGAUCGUAGUCUGCAACUCGACUACGUGAAGCUGGAAUCGCUAGUAAUCGCGGAUCAGCAUGUCGCGGUGAAUACGUUCCCGGGUCUUGUACACACCGCCCGUCACACCAUGGGAGUGGGUUUUGCCAGAAGCAGUUAGCCUAACCGCAAGGGG
rnacentral:rRNA from 1 species